ACGGGAUGUGAAUGGAGGGGAAAGUUGAAGCACCCUCCUCGCACGAGCGGGACGUACGUUAUUGAUUCCACCUGCACUAGCGGCAAGCGGUGCAAACGCCUGCCGCUGCAACCCUACGCUUCUCUUAGUCACAGCCGCCACCACCGCCGAACGCCGAUAGCCGUCGUGUGCCUUUGCAAACGUUUUAGUAUAGUUUCAAUAGCGAAGAAAUGAGCACUUACUCCUCCACUUGGAAUCGAUUUUGAACGCCGACACAGCGCGGUCGAUUGUAACUGACAGGAUUUCAAGUACCUGUUGUUUUGAAUUUAAGUGGACAUUUAUUCAAGCACAACUAAAGGACUUUUUCAAGUAUCAAACGUUCAAGGAUAUUUAAGGUAUAGACAACAUUGAUUGCAGACGAAAUAAACCAUAUAUACACCACCAGACAAAGAAGUCCAUCAUAGAAUUGAGCAGUAAUACUACUGUUGUAUUAUUCACAAAAUUUUAGCCUUAUAAUAUUACCCAUAUUAGUUUACUACUACAGUUACCAUUAACAGCAUUGUCAUUGCCAGAGUGAGUAAAUCAUCUAUAAUAAUUUAUUUAUGAUAUUUAGAAUCUGUAUCAAUUUAUUUGUAAUAUUUAUUAGCAAAUAUCAUGUUGUCUAAUAAGGCAAUUUAAUAAAUAAAAACUAAAUUAAACGUUGUCUUUAAGUGGAGUAAAAAAGAUUGUUUUCAUUUAAUUCAUUUUAAACUUGAAUAAAGAUAUUGUAUGUUAUUGAUGCACUAUAGAUUAACUAGGUUUCAACUAUUUUAGUGUUAUCUGUUAAUGACAUCUAAGCUAGGCUGACUGUGAAUUUGGUUAGUACUAAUAAAUAAAUAAUAAAACUACUUCAAAUAAUAGCAAUAUUAAAAACGGUUAAGGGUUAAUUAAAUAUAAAUAAACUGAUGGUUAUUGUAAAAUACUAUUUAAAUAUUCUACUGUAAUAUUGCCGUUUAGUAUACGUAUAAUGAUAGUACACCGGAUAAUGAUUAUUUCAAUAAAGAGACUAAAUAGUUCUAUUACUGCUAUGAGCUAAAUAACAUACUCAGUAAUAAGAUCAGUCAUAAAACACCAGCAGAAGCUGAUCAAUAAGUCUCUAAAUACAAUUUAAUGUAAUCCAUGGCAUAAAAAACAUGCAAAAAUCAGUCAUGUGCCACAUAUAUGGUUAAAUAAGAAUGAAAUACAUAUCACGGUUAAUUUGAAGUGUAAAAGAGGCAACAAUGAUGAAAAUUUACAAAUUAUUAGGUAUUAGGUAAUUUGACAUUGUUGUAUAUUUUAGGACAAAGUAUAUACUUAAAAGCUGACUGACUGGUAUACUACAGACAAAUAACUACUUUUAUUUUUGUUUUUCUCUUAUAAUAUUAAACAACACAGCGUUUUUAAUUUUAACAUUUAUCUACUAAAGUGCGUAAAGAACUAAAUAAUUAUAAAAAAAAAAUUAAUAUUUGUAAAUAAUAAAUUGAAAUGAAGGAUUUAUGACGUAGGUAUCUAACACUACUUUGUUAAUUAUUGACUUUUCUUAUUAUAGUAUAUACGUAUUACUACAUUCACAAAUAGUAGAGAACAUCUACACAGUAACUAAAUAAACCAAUAAAUAAUAAUAAAAAAAAAUUUAUAAGUGUACAAUUAAAUACUUCUUAAAGCUAUUAUUUUUCAUGAUAAAUAGUAGUUAAUAUUACUCUACAAAAAAGAUACAUCUAAAACUAAAAAUACUGUUAAAAUACACACCAAGUCUAAUAUAUGACAUUGACAUUAAAAAUAUACACUUAGUACGGGUAGUUGUAUUUUUAAAUACUAAAAAAAAAAAAAAAAAACCAAAAAGUUUAAGUAUAAAUCUACGAUGUACAACAUGAAGUUGUCAGAUUAAGUAAAAGCAUCACUAACCCUCUUUUGUAUAGUAAUUAUGUGUUUACAAGUGUAAGUUAAUACAUUACAUAUAAUUGCUUUUGUUGUUUUAUUAACUCUCAAAUAUUACAAAAAUAGAGGGCUUACCAACUAUCAUAACUAGACUAAGAAAGUUAAUGUUAAAAAAAAAUAUAUAAUAAUAAUAAUAAUAAUAAUAGUAAACAAAGAGAUCAAUAACCAUUUAAGUAUUAUUGCUUUACAUACAUAAUAUAAUAAUGUUUCUAAUUAGUAUUGUCCAGUCGAUUCAGUGCUUUUUUCGUAACUUUUACUUGUUUUACAUAAAUUCUAAAAACUAAGAACUAUAUAAUGCAAAAGUAAAAUGUGAUUUAUAUUUUAAUAACUUUAAAAUACUUUUUUGUUUGAAUUUAUUUGGAGCACUUUUUUAGUGUCUAACUAGAAUUAUACAUCCGAUUAUUUACGGAACUGUGUGAGAUAAUUAUUUAAAAUUAUUUUUGCAACAUUGGCAUUGAUGAAAAUAAAAUAAAAUAAAAAAUGAAACGAUCUAAGACGGACAGCUAAGGUAAAUAUUGAACGACUCUUUCGUCUACAGUUUGAAAUUCGACUAUAAACAAAUAAUAAAAAUCAAAAGAUAUACACACGUUGAAUGAAAUUUGCAAUUAAGUAUUUAUUUUUAACAGUACUCCCGCCCUACGUGGCGCGCUACUACUAAAGAAAAUGAGAUAUUACAAGAAUUUGAUUAAAAGUUAUUUUGGAUAAGAAGAAAAGUAGACGAUAUUACAAUAUUAUGUAUAUCUUAUACAGAAAUUCGGAGAAGAAAUAUUGAAUGAAUUAUGAAAAAACAAUCGGCUAGAUGUUAUAAGAAGAAAUAAAAAAAUUAAUUGUCAUGAAGAACGUUGGUGAGAUUUUGGUCCUUAAUGGAAUGUAUCUUAUCUACUGAUCGUAUUGGAAUUUGUUUAUUAUUUUUAACAGUACAUCAAAACUAAUACAAUAACACGUUAAUUAGACACUAAUUACACUACUAUUCAGAAAAUCGAAAAUAUUUAAAAUUAAUAGUUAAUAGUAAUUAAAAAAUAAUAAAACACGUUAAUUAAUUAUAUUAUUAUAAAUAAUUAUAAUAAUACAACUGACUAGAAAUCGUUCGUUUUUUUUAAAAAUCCAAUGAAAAUAUAACUCACGACAAUGAGGCAGUGGUAUGGCACAUGCGCGAAUGAUCUUCAAGGGAUCUGUGGCUGUCAGCCUUGUCGAUUUGUGAAAAAAUAAACAAUAUUAAGUGUAAUAAUUAUAGUAUUUUAUAUGAUAAUAAAAUUGAAAUGAUUUUUUUUUCGGAUGUUUAAGUAGAUAUUUUUUUUUCGAAUUAAAAAAAAUAAUUUCAACGAUAGAAUGUGUCUGAGCAAAGAGAAUGAUUUUCGUUUGAUCGCCUAUAAAUAUUGACCAGGCCACCAACGCUAGGAUGAUGAACGGGACAAGCCUAAACGUACAUGCCACCCAUACCGUACAUGGAUGACCAGUCGAUACCUUGGAAGCCACUCAUGUCGAUGCCAGAUAGACUGUACGCUGGAUAGGCCGCUUGCGUGGCUGCAGCUGCUGCUGCGGCUUGCACGGGUUGAGCAGCGGCUGCGGCCGCUUGAGGAGCCGCCGCUGCGGUGACCGGCACUGGAUAUGGAGAAUAACGGUAGCUAGCUAGUCCUGGGUACGUUGCGAACAAUUUAUUGUAAUUGUGAGCAGCCACUGCGGCCGCUGCAGCUUGAGCCUGAGCCUGAGCUUGCGCCUGGGCUUGUUGUACGGCAGCCAACUGAUGUGUAGCUUGCGACACGGGUGCAGCGGCAACACGAACUCCCAAAGGACCGCCGACUAGUACGGGACGUUUGCCUAAUAACAAACCAGCUGCAGCGGCUGCUGCAGGCUGCACUAGUUCUUUGGGCUGAGCCUUUUUGCAUUCCACUUUUUUGUUCUUAAUAGUGUGGAAGUGGAUCUCACAUAUGGUAUCAACUAUAUCAUCAUUUUCAAACGUCACAAACCCAAAACCUCUGUGUCUCUUGGUGUGCUGGUCCAUCAGCAUCACCGUCUCUUCAACUUUCCCGAAUUGACUGAAAUACGCUUUGACUUCUUCGGCAGUGGUAUCCUGACUAACACCUCCUACAAAGAUCUUUUUUGUCUUGCUUCCAGCCUUAGGGCGAUUCUUGGGGGUCGCAUGCUUCGGGUCAAUCUUUUUACCGUCUAACGUGUGUAUGGGCACAGCCAAGACUUUUUCAACAGUCUCGGCGUCAGAAAAUGUGAUAAAUCCAAAACCGCGACUCCGCUGAAAAUGAAAACAAUAUAUAAUUAGAAAAAUUUACUAACGUGCCAAGUGUUGAUUUUACCUGAGUUAUGGGGUCUUUCAUUAUCAGUACGUUUGUAACGUCACCAAACAUACCAAAGUAUUGUUUGAGUUUAUCGGCCGAUGUCUGCCAGCUGAGUCCACCGACAAACAGUUUAGCUGAAGUACCUUCGGUGCUACUGUUCGGCGUGGAUCUACCGCUUGGUGAUUGAGCUGACGAAGAGUCCAUACCGUUUUGUUUGAGUCCGCCGUUCAUGUUAUUCAUCUGGGCUUGUUGUUGUUGAGAUGCAGCCACUGCUGCUACAGCUGCAGCUACUACCGCCGCAUUUUCUUGAGACCCGUUGGUUCCGUUUUGCAACGGAGAACUGCCCUUGACUGUGACGGCGGUGGCCGGUUGUGGUUGAGCGAUUUUCACUAAUCCUGCCGGUGGAACUCGAACCGUUUGAUGAUGAGGGUGAAGCGCUAAUGGCAUUGGUGUAGCGGCCAUUGCGGCCAUAGGCUGCGGCAAGCCUAUGCCACCAGCAGCAAGCAUGCCGCUGAAAUCAGCCGCGUGCUCAGCUAGUGUAGCCAUUUGAUCCACUCCCAAACUAAAAAAAAAUUUACACAUAAAUUAUUAGUAAAGCUUUUUUGUUAUUAAAAUUAAAACUUUUUGAAUUAUUUCAUUAUUUUUUUUACAGACUCUAUAGUCGUUCCAAAUAGCGAACUUGGAAUGUUCACCAAAGAAUCACUACAUAAACACUAAUGAUCAAAUUCAACCAAAACAAGUGAUAACUUGAAGAAAGUAAUCUAAAUCAAACUACUUCACUUGUGUUAUGUAUAUAACAUACGGUACUCAUGGAUUAACAAUAUACAUAUAAAAGAGAACAACACUCCGAUAUUGUCCUGUCACAGCAGUAAUGUCACAUUUAUGAAUCGUACUGCUGUUGCGGGACAUUUUCAGAGCUGUCGUUUGUAAACGAUAUAUGGACUAUUCAUAAAAUGACAAAAGUUAUGAGAAAAUCUCUAGUUCAAAAAUGGGAAAAUUUACUGGAUACUUCCCCUUUUUGUUAAAACAAAUAUAAGAAUUUGAAAAAUAUUUUCCAUUAAAUAUUGUUUACGUUUUAUGAAAAACUUAAAUUUUGUUGAAUAUUUAACACCGACAUUAUUUUAAGUCAUGUAUUAAUUAGUGAAAAAUUAAAUAAAAUUAAAAAAAAAACUAUUUUUAAAAAAUUUGAAACAUAAUAAAAUAGCUUUAAAGCUUUAAUAAUUAUA